GGGUGGUUGUCUUGCUGCAUGACCCACCUUUUCUUGAGAUUUAGUUCUGACAUCUGUCUGAAUGUGGAACACUUUAGUGAUGUUUUUUUAACCUUUUCCAGCCUAAUGCGCAUGUGUUGUGAAGAGCAGAGUUUGAUAGAUCCCUAUCCUUUAAAUAUAACAAGCUCUACCCUCUCACACCGGAUUGUCAUCCUAUUAAUUGGGAAGACACUAAUUUCACCUUUAAAUGAACUGCUAAGUAGGUUUACAUACUUUUGCCACUCACAAAUAUGUACUACUGGAUAAUUGUCCGUAAUAAAUAAAUGACAGAAGGAUAACGUGUCUUAUUUGUUUAACUGGUCUCUCUUUGUCUACUAUUAGGAUGUGUGUGAAAAUCUGAUGAUGUAUGAGGAAAUAUUUAUGCAGAAAUAUCAAACAAUUUACAAGGUUUACACACUUUCAAGCAACACUGUAUGUACACACAGUAUAUAUACAUACACAGACAACCCCUUUUUUAUCAUUUGCAUUUCACCAACCUCAAGUGUCAUUCUUAAACAACUAAAAAUUGCUUUUCUCCCUCUUCAGUAAACUCACCAUUGAAAUUAGGUAGGACACCCUGGGCGUGUCCUGGUCCCUGUGAGGAUUCUUUCGAUGUACAAUGGUUGUACCACCUUGAUGUGUCCUGUUGUAUGAGAAUAAAUAGCUCUGGCUGAGGAGGUAACCUGCAGAUUAAAAGUGUUUGUCUAAACUAGUCAGCUGAACUACACACUAACAAAUGUAAGUUGUUGUGAUUUAGUAUACGUACUACACAUUAAUUGUCAAGAGCUUUUGCUUACGUUUUUAUUUAGACAUCUGAAGUACUCUUAAGAGGUGAGUUUUUCCAAAUAUUUUCCCUUAAAAGGUGAGUUUCUUUUAUUUCAUUUUUUCUUAAUCAUGUCCUCUGUAAAUAGGUUAAUUCAACAUUACAAUAAGGGAAUAAUGGAUUUUUUUUUUUUUUUAAUUUACAAGAAAACGUACUCUGCUCUCAGUUAAAUGUAGGCCUUGUGGUUAACUGACUAUUAUCCACAAUGAAACUGAUACACAGAUAAGUUAAAAAGUUUUGAAAUGUUCCAUUAAAUCUACCUUUAGGAAUGUUUCAGACAUUAAACCUUGAAUAUCUGACAGAUUGUUACACCAAUCCUGCUUUGCUCUUUUAGGCUGAAAGGUACUGGUAAGUUCUAAGAAUUCAUAAAAGUCUUAAUUCAGAGCUUUUAUAGCUAAGGGUGUAUCGAUGCUGUCAAAUUAUUGAAAGAGGAUAUACACUGUGGUUGUUUCAUCCAUAAAUAUGUGUCUUGUAUGUGUGAUGGUAUCCAUUUUGUAAACAUUAAAUACAGUACCAUUGUGUUUUGAAAUGUGUUGUUUCUGUCUUUGAGGUGGGGCAGGGGGUCUUGGUGCAUUUGGCAGUCUUUUUUUGACAGAAUUGAAGUGUUUAUGGAGGCCUUUUCCAGACGUCUUUCAAGUAAACAGACCUCUCAACAGAAGAGAGAGAACCUGGCAUACAAGGUGUACAAUACAAACUGUCUGGAUCAGCCAUGCCUGGAUUGUUGUACUGAAGGUCCCUGAUACAUAGAGUUGGUGUGUGUGUGUGUGUGUGUGUGUGUGUGUGUGUGUGUGUGUGUGUGUGUGUGUGUGUGUGUGUGUGUUGAAUAUAAAAAAAAUAUGUAUGUAUAAAUAUAUAUGUGAUUCAUCUGAAGACAUUUAACUAAGCUACUACUGUUAUGCUUGAAUAAAUCAACUUAUCUUUAAA